UACAGAGGUCCCAAGCGUUGUUCGGAUUCACUGGGCGUAAAGGGUGCGUAGGUGGCCGGUUAAGUCUGACGUGAAAUCUCCGAGCCUAACUCGGAAACUGCAUCGGAAACUAUCCGGCUCGAGGGUUGGAGGGGGGGACUGGAAUACUUGGUGUAGCAGUGAAAUGCGUAGAUAUCAAGUGGAACACCAGUGGCGAAGGCGAGUCCCUGGACAACUCCUGACACUGAGGCACGAAAGCUAGGGGAGCAAACAGG
rnacentral:rRNA from 1 species